GCUAUUGAAGAUGCAUGACUUCCGACGUUUUGUCGUUGAGGCACCGCGCCUGGUGUGCCGCUGACGUCAAUCCCUUCAUUUAGACCCCGGAUGAAACUGCUAGUGGGGGAAGUGAACAGGGCCAUCAGCACAAUAACUGCAAUUUGGUGGAUAAAGGGGGAAAAGCAAAAAUACAUAGGAUUAAUCCUAACAGUGGACCCUUUGAAACCAUCAGGACUAUCUCCAAAUUGGAUUUACGUAAACAUUGGGGGACUGGCAGAAUUGAGCCUUGGAACAGUAGUUUGAGUUAGCUUGCUGCUGACUGUAACGAAGGAAAACAUCUUGCUGAUUAGCUUGCUAGCUACUGUACUGGGAUACGAAUAAAACGCAGGUUUUGAGGGAACGCGUCUAAUUGAAACGCUCUACACAAAUCCAGUGGCUUGCUUCAUGAAUUAUGUCUGCUACAAGUAUUGACCCUCAGAAUUCAAAAGGACAAGACGCUAAAGUCUUUCCGGUUUCAGUGCAAAAUGGCUCACUCCACCAGAAGGAAACUGUCCAUGAUAAUGACUUUGAGCCCUAUCUCACUGGCCAAUCCAAUCAGAACAACAGCUACCAAUCCAUGACUGACCCUUACCUGUCCAGCUACUAUGCCCCCUCCAUUGGAUUCCCCUACCCCCUGAGCGAGGCACCUUGGUCCACCGGUGGCGACCCCCCGAUCCCUUACCUGACCCCCUAUGCGCCCCUUAGCAAUGGAGACCACCACUUCAUGCAUGACACCGUUUUUGGCCAGCCUGGGGGGCUUGGCAGCAGCAUCUACCCACAUAGAUUUAACUUUUUCCCUGAGAACCCAGCCUUCUCCACCUGGGGUACCAGUGGGUCUCAAGGCCAGCAGACUCAGAGUUCAGCCUAUGGGGGCAGCUACAGCUACCCUCCCAGCUCCCUGGGGGGCACACUAGUCCCUGAUGGUCAGACAGGGUUCCACAGUGACACACUGAGCAAGGCACCAGGCAUGAACAGCCUGGAGCAGGGGAUGCUGGGGCUGAAGAUAGGUGGGGAUGUGUCGGGCAAUGGCUCAGGCGUGAAGAGUGUGGGCUCUGUGAUCGGCGGUGGUGCUGUGGCUCAGGCUGUUUCUACAGGCAAUGGUGGAACACCAAUUGGCAUGCCCCCUCCUAAGCCCACGUCCUGGGCUGCUAUCGCUAGCAAACCAGCCAAGCCACAGCAGCUGAAGGCCAAGCCAGGCAUGCCCAUGGGGGGAGCCCUGCCACCACCACCCAUCAAACACAAUAUGGACAUUGGGACAUGGGAUAACAAGGGGUCUAUAAGCAAAGUGGCCCCUCCACUGUCCCACCACCAGCAGCAGCUCCACUCUCAUGGCCAUGCCCACCUCCCCCACGGGCUCCCCCCUCAGCAGUCUGUUCAAUCUGCCCAGUCCCUUGUGCAGCAGAUGACCAUGGGCCCGCCCCCCCCGCAGUCAUACCAGAACCACAACUCAGCCCCACCCCCUCAGACCCGCUGGGUUGCUCCACGCAACCGUAACCCGGGCUACGGUGGGGGCAGCAUGGACAGCAGCGGUUCCUCUAGUGGUGGGGGUGGAGGUGUGCCUCCAGGUUCUGGCCCAGGUCUAGAGAACCACCCUGUUCUGGAGAAUCUGCGGGCUGCCCACAGCUACAACCCUAAGGAGUUUGACUGGAACCUGAAGAAUGGCCGCGUGUUCAUCAUCAAGAGCUACUCUGAGGACGACAUCCACCGUUCCAUCAAGUACUCCAUCUGGUGCAGCACAGAGCAUGGCAACAAGCGUCUGGACUCAGCCUUCCGUGCCAUCAAUGCCAAAGGCCCUGUCUAUUUGCUGUUCAGCGUCAAUGGUAGCGGCCACUUCUGUGGCGUGGCAGAGAUGCUCUCGCCCGUGGACUACGGCACCAGUGCUGGCGUUUGGGCGCAGGACAAGUGGAAAGGCAAGUUUGACGUGGACUGGCUGUUUGUGAAAGACGUGCCUAAUAGCCAGCUGAGGCACAUCAGGCUGGAAAACAACGACAACAAGCCGGUGACCAACUCUAGGGACACUCAAGAGGUCCCUCUGGAGAAGGCUAAGCAGGUGCUCAAGAUCAUCGCAACUUACAAACACACCACCUCCAUCUUUGAUGACUUCUCCCACUAUGAGAAGAGACAGGAAGAAGAGGAGGUUGUCAGAAAGGUGGACUCCAAUCAAGUUGUAGAAACAUCUCAAGGAUGAUCAAUGGAAACAGGAUGCACCUGAGCUCAAUUUCAAGUCUCAUAGCAAAUGGUCUGAAUACUUUUGUAAGACCUAUGAGCCAGCUCCAAUACAGAGAGGGUCUCGACUUGAUCAGGAACGCCAAAACCGAAGUAAACCACAAUAGAGGAAUGCUCCUUAUAGCUUGAUCAAUGGUUAUACUUGGAUGGACAUAAUGGAAUUUAGAUCAUGAAAAAAGAGGACAUAAAGAAAUUGUCAACUCCUAUUUAUUUUGGCCCACAUCAAACUUUGAGCCACACUGCUUCUGGUCCGGUUCCCAGUCUAAGUCGUGCGCAGGGAUGAAGUCAGUUUCCAUUAAUCAAAUUGCUUCAUCCUUAUUUGUUUUCUUUCUUUCUGUAUUUUUAGCCUGGCAGGUCUUUAUUUGCUAUACUCCCACACUCACAUCCUUAACUGAGUAACAAAUAUCUGCACUUCUUUAACAAAAUCUAACAUGCUGCUGAUAUUCAGUGACUGUUCAACUUGUGGUGGUGUGAGUGUUGGAGAAACGUUAAGUGCUUGUAUUGGUUGUUCUGAUUUAGGAAGAGUGAAUGCGACAAUUAACUGAAUCUUGACAAAUGUUUGAUAACUGUACUUGGCCAGUUUUAUUUUGCAUAAUCAAAAUAAACUGUUCUGUUAUGCCCUUCUUGUCCAUGUGAGGGUGGUCUUGUGGCUUGGUAGAAGAUGUGAAAAGCUUCUGCAAAUGAUGCAUAUAAUGGAUAAUGUGAAAGGCUGUGACAUUAGAAAAUUUUAAUGUUUUAAAAAAAAAAGAAAUAUUUUUGAAAUUAGGUAUCACUUGGCUUAACACUGUUGUGACAACAAUUUGUUGAAGAAGAGAUACAAUAUGUUUUAUUUUCUUUCUUUUUUUUUCAGUGGAGCCUUAACACUUUUUCUGACAACAGUGUCAAUGAAACUCUAUUUGCUGUACUGUAACUCAAGUGUGUCAGCAAAAAGAUUCAGGGGAAAGAUGUCUAGAACAUCCGCUCUCAAAGGAGGUCCCUUUCUUUUUUCUUGAUGGGGUGGAAAUGUAAACUGUCUUGAGUUCAAGUUCUUAGCCGGACAAUACUAUUGUUGUCUUCUUCCUUGUUAUUUUAAAUCAUAGUUGUUACUUUUCUGUUCCCCAUCAUUCCAACAACGGGGUCAAUGAAACUAAGUCAUUUUGGGGACAAAUGUAGCAUGUACUGCUUUUAAAAUCAAGAUAGCCCUGUCACUCUGUUUCUUAUCCUUGUCCUUUUCUUAACAGAAGCAUUGAUAUAACCCUUCCACUUCAUCCUCAGAAAUGUUAAGCUUUAAUGUACUGGCAAUGCUAACUGAGAACGCCUCAAAUAUGUAAUCUUAAAAUUAAUUUGACUGAUUUAAUGUCAAGUGUAUGAAAACCCAGAGAAUAGUAUAUAUGGUAUCUGUGUGAUUUAUUUUUUUCCGGGACCUGCUUGCUGUAUGCCUGUAUGCGCAUAUGUCUGUAUGCGAAAGACAGAGGGGAGUGUGAUUUAUUGAGGGAAUCAGAUUUAUGUAAUGGUAUUGGAAAUUAUUCAUGAGAAUAUAUAAACAUUUAAGAAAACAAAUGUUUAAGUCACCCCUGAAUUUAAUAUGCGUUGUAUCAAAGGUCACUAUCACAUUCUUAGAUUUGAUCAUGGUCAUUAUUAAAGGUAUACUAUCUAUUGUAA